rnacentral:lncRNA from 1 species
UACUCAGGUAGAUUAAUCAAUGAGUGAUAGAUUUCUCUUAGAAGAAAUUUAAAGGUCUGAGUGAAUAAACUAUACAGAGAACAAUACCUAUAGUAUUUGUUAGAUGUUACAUCCCAGCUCUUUUGUUCUAACAGGGGUGAUCUGAGCCGGAUCACCCCUGCCAGAUCACCCUAGUUUGAGUUUCUUUGUUAUGCAUGCUUUCCUUUGUUCUGUAACAUUUUGGCGGGAAUGUCAAAUCCACUAUAAAACUUAUAAUUAAUUUUACGGAAAAGACUAUCUAUCAAAAUUCACGUAGAAAAAAUCCAGUAGAUAUGCUGGGAUUCGAACUCAAGACCUUUAGCAUAUCAAGCCACGACACAUACCACUACACCAGGACGACUUGAU